rnacentral:rRNA from 1 species
GUCUGUGGCCAUACCACCCUGAACACACCCAAUCUCGUCUGGUCUCAGAAGCUAAGCAGGGUCCAGCUUGGUUAGUACUUGGAUGGGAGAAAGAUCUUUAGAGGAGACUGCUCAGGGACAAACAGUCUAGAGACA